rnacentral:lncRNA from 1 species
UACUUAACCAUAGUAACCACUCACUAGCUCACAUUUAAUCAAUUAAAACAACAUUUGAAAGUAGUAACAUGCCUUAGAGAUUUCACUCAAUUCCUCACCGGAUAUACUCUCUAUUUUCACACAGAUUUUCUUACUACACUCCCUAUACUAAGUAUAUGUGAGAAGAUUGAUGUAAACAUGUAGAUUAGCACUCACAUAUGUUAUAACCAAGAAGGCACUUUCUGGAAUUAUUAAUACAAACAUGUAUAUGAUCUCAUGAACGGAAUGCCACUACUUAGAAGCGAGAACCAGGGAUUCCAUAUGCUCAUACCAAUUUCAAACUCCACAUGUUGAAUAACAUAACAAUCAAGAUAAAAGUCUAAGGUUGUAAUGGGGAUAAGGUAUUGGCUAACAAAGAAAGGUCAAGGAUGAACAAAGGUUCUUAAAGUGAUAGUAAGCAAAAUAAUGAAAUCAACACUUAGAAUUCAACUUUUGAUUGCAGCAUCUAACUUUAAACACAAAGGGGAGAUUUUUUUUCCUUUUCGCAAUUUUUUUUCUUCUUUCUUUUCUGUUUCUUUUUCAACAUUUUUCUCUUUUUUUUUUUUUUUUUUUUUUUUUUUUUUUGGAAACAUAAAACAUAAGCACUAAACUUCACCGGAUUCAAAAGAACAAAUCCUUCCCGCACACUUAUUUGUUUGUAUUCUUUAAGAACAAGGGUGUGGAUAUUCCUAUGCUAGGCUAGGUAAGGAUAAUGCAGGCUAACAAAGAAAAUAGGCCAAAUAAGGCUCGAAGGGGUUAAACCUACAAUACAUAUGCAAGGGAUAAGGCUUUUUGGCUCUGGUGGUAACUAAACAACUUUUUUCUUUUCUUUGUUAUGUAAUCAAUUUUAAGCUUUGAAUGAAACAGGCAUGAGUUCUAGUAUUUGGAACUAAAAUGAUGAAAAAGCAUUCCAAGUAGCAACCAAGCAACGAAAUAAUGAGAUCAUGCAACGACUUUAGAAAGCAAGAAUAUCACAGAUUAAUAACUCUCCAAACAAAGAAUAGGCUCAAGUCUCACAGGGUUGUAGCGUUAGUUUGAGUUUCUUCCUUCAAGCAUGUUACAAAAACUGAUUUUUUUUUCUUUGUGAUUGCAUGUGAAUUCGUAAAUGACAACUACAACUAAGUUUUAACCAAAGAGCAUAUCAAACUUCCACCCAUGUUUGUAACCUUCUUUAAUAGUCAUGCAAUUA